rnacentral:misc_RNA from 1 species
GAUGAAGAACGCAGCGAAAUGCGAUAAGUAAUGUGAAUUGCAGAAUUCCGUGAAUCAUCGAAUCUUUGAACGCACAUUGCGCCCGCCAGUAUUCUGGCGGGCAUGCCUGUUCGAGCGUCAUUUCAACCAUCAAGCCCCAGGCUUGUGUCGGGGACCUGCGGCUGCCGCAGGCCCUGAAAACCAGUGGCGGGCUCGCUGUCACACCGGGCGUAGUAGAUUUUAUCUCGCUCAGGGCGUGCUGCGGGUUCCGGCCGUUAAAAAGCCUUUUUUACCCAAGGUUGACCUCGGAUCAGGUAGGAAGACCCGCUGAACUUAAGCAUAUCAAUAAGCGGAGGA